rnacentral:rRNA from 1 species
UCUUGGAAAUAAAAAGAAAAAUCUACCGGAGUACUACGAAUAAAAAAAUUUAAAACUCAAAGAGCUUGGCGGUGCUUUAGACUUUUCAGGGGAACCUGUCUUAUAAUCGACAAUCCACGCUAUACCUGACCUUAAUCUUGCACACAAUUUGUAUACCGUCGUCGUCAGGUAACUUUUAAAAAUCUUAAUAGUUAGCGAAAGAGUCUAAUAAACUUAAACGUCAGAUCAAGGUGCAAUUAAUGAUAAGGGCAAGAUGGGUUACAAUUAUUAAAAUAAUAAUACGAAAAACUAGUUGAAACAUUACUUCAAAGGAGGACUUGAAAGUAAAAACUUAUAUAUAUAUAUAGAUUGAAUAAAGCUCUGAAGCGUGC